UCGGGAGCCCUUAACAUGCAGUCGAACGGCAGCACGGACUUCGGUCUGGUGGCGAGUGGCGAACGGGUGAGUAAUGUAUCGGAACGUGCCUAGUAGCGGGGGAUAACUACGCGAAAGCGUAGCUAAUACCGCAUACGCCCUACGGGGGAAAGCAGGGGAUCGCAAGACCUUGCACUAUUAGAGCGGCCGAUAUCGGAUUAGCUAGUUGGUGGGGUAACGGCUCACCAAGGCGACGAUCCGUAGCUGGUUUGAGAGGACGACCAGCCACACUGGGACUGAGACACGGCCCAGACUCCUACGGGAGGCAGCAGUGGGGAAUUUUGGACAAUGGGGGAAACCCUGAUCCAGCCAUCCCGCGUGUGCGAUGAAGGCCUUCGGGUUGUAAAGCACUUUUGGCAGGAAAGAAACGUCAUGGGUUAAUACCCCGUGAAACUGACGGUACCUGCAGAAUAAGCACCGGCUAACUACGUGCCAGCAGCGGCGGUAAUAAAAA
rnacentral:rRNA from 1 species